rnacentral:rRNA from 1 species
GACGAACGCUGGCGGCGUGCUUACACAUGCAAGUCGAACGAUGAAGCCCAGCUUGCUGGGCGGAUUAGUGGCGAACGGGUGAGUAACACGUGAGUAACCCACCCUUGACUCUGGGAUAAGCCCGGGAAACUGGGUCUAAUACCGGAUACGACCGCCCGCCGCAUGACGGGUGGUGGAAAAAUCUUUCGGACAGGGAUGGACUCGCCUCCUAUCCUCUUGUUGUGGAGGUGAUGGCUCGGCUCAGCGACGACAGGAAGGCGGCCUGACAUGAUGAGCGGACCCGCUGCGAUGGAAAUGAGACCCAGACUCCAAUCGUACGCAACGCUGCGGAGUAUUGCAUUGUGGGCUGAACCCUGAUGCGACGACGCCACGCGACGGAUGACAGCCUUCCCUUUGUAUUCCUCUUUCCUGAUGGAAGAAACGAAAAUGAAUGGACCUGCCCAGCAAACACCGGGUCAGUUCAUGACAUCGCCCGCGGCACUACAUAAGGUGCGAGCCUUAUCCUGACUUAAUGUACGGAACGAACUCAUAUGGCGGUUUGUCGCGUCUGCUGUGAAGGCCGGAGCUUAACUCCGUGUAUUGCAGUGGGUACGGGCAGACUAGAGUGCAGUAGGGGAGACUGGAAUUCCUGGUGUAGCGGUGGAAUGCGCAGAUAUCAGGAGGAACACCGAUGGCGAAGGCAGGUCUCUGGGCUGUAACUGACGCUGAGAAGCGAAAGCAUGGGGAGCGAACAGGAUUAGAUACCCUGGUAGUCCAUGCCGUAAACGUUGGGCACUAGGUGUGGGGGACAUUCCACGUUUUCCGCGCCGUAGCUAACGCAUUAAGUGCCCCGCCUGGGGAGUACGGCCGCAAGGCUAAAACUCAAAGAAAUUGACGGGGGCCCGCACAAGCGGCGGAGCAUGCGGAUUAAUUCGAUGCAACGCGAAGAACCUUACCAAGGCUUGACAUAUACUGGACCGCAUCAGAGAUGGUGUUUCCCUUCGGGGCUGGUAUACAGGUGGUGCAUGGUUGUCGUCAGCUCGUGUCGUGAGAUGUUGGGUUAAGUCCCGCAACGAGCGCAACCCUCGUUCUAUGUUGCCAGCACGUUAUGGUGGGGACUCAUAGGAGACUGCCGGGGUCAACUCGGAGGAAGGUGGGGAUGACGUCAAAUCAUCAUGCCCCUUAUGUCUUGGGCUUCACGCAUGCUACAAUGGCCGGUACAGAGGGUUGCGAUACUGUGAGGUGGAGCUAAUCCCUAAAAGCCGGUCUCAGUUCGGAUUGGGGUCUGCAACUCGACCCCAUGAAGUCGGAGUCGCUAGUAAUCGCAGAUCAGCAACGCUGCGGUGAAUACGUUCCCGGGCCU